GGGCAGCUUCUGCAGUUGUCACCGCGUCAGCUCUGGGCAUCUGCCAGAGCACCCCUCCAGGCAACUUCUUCCCACAUUCCCCUCUGAUGGACCCCAACUCUCCUCACGCCUGGCCCGUCCAGCGGGGCACAAAGAAAUCCCAGUCUCUCCGCAAACUUUGCGCUUCCAGUUAUGCCGCCCCCUCCCCUGGCCUCCCCCCUCCCCCCUUCCAGCUUCUUGGCAGGAAGGUUAGGCCACUGGCAGAAUCCUCGGCGAGAGGCAGCUGAUCACAAAUGCCAACUGUGUGUCUUGGGGCCAGUUAAGCCCUCUCAUCUGCCCAGGCUCUCUGGAGACCAUUUCAUUGCUAUGAAGGUUCCCAGGAGACCGCUGCGGACGUGGACCAUCCCCCACUCAGCCCGCACCGGUGGGAUGCUGAGCGGCGUCCUAAAAGUGCUCUUUCUCACCUCCACUUCUCAUGCUAGACUGUAAUAAUUCCGAAUUUGGAGACAAGCAGAUCUUUUUUUUUUUUUUUUCUUCCCUCAAAUGAAAAAAGGAGGACCAUUAGCUAGGUGAUUAGCCCUAGGUGGGAAACGAAUCGUCUCAAAUCAGAAUACUAACUUUUUGAGGAAGUCUGUGGAAGUUCUAAAGACCCACCCCAUCCCAUGACCUUUAAUUCUUUUUAGUUCUGCCACAGGGAAGCAGCCAGCGACUAAUAAAAGAUUUGAUCUUGCCAUAAUUUCCCAAGCAGGAAUGGACAAGGAACCCAAUUCUGGACAAAGGGAGAGUUUGUGGAGGCUUUUGGAAUGUGACCUUAUUUGGAGAUAGGAUCUUCACGGAGGUAAUCAAGCUAAAAUGAGGUCAUUAGGAUUGGCAAUAAUCCAAUAUGCCUGAUGCCCUUUUAAAAAAGGGAAAUUUGAAGACAGAGAAGGACACAGGAGAACACCAUGGGAGGAUGAAGACAGAGACAGGAGUGAUGCUCUUUCAAGGCAAAUAAUGCCAGCGAUGUCCAGCAAAAUACUAGAAGCUGGCAAAGAGACAUGGAACAGAUUCAUCCUCACAGUCCUUAGAAGGAACUAAUUCUAUUGACAUCUUGACCUUGGAUGUCUGCCCUCUAGAACUGUGAAACAAUAAAUUUCUAUUGUUGAAGCCA